rnacentral:lncRNA from 1 species
CCAUUGUUUUUAUUUUUUAAAGUAUUUUAUUUUACUUAGCAAUCAGCAGUACAUAGUAGUUUGACAAAGCAGAAAGCGCAUGCAUUUCCCUUUCAGUGUUAACUGUGAACACCCGGCUGUCUCUCUUCAUGAAUAUUUAUGGAGAUAAGUGUUGGGCAUCGUAGUAAGGCGAAAAGAGAGAUGAAAAGAUGAAUGGAUGAAGAGACAGAAAGAAAACUGGCACUGUUUAGUAAUAAAUAGGUUUAAUAACAAAAAAAUUAAUGUUACUCAAAUUUAAAAAGAAAAGGUAACUAGAGAACUAAAGAAAUUGCUGUUCUUCAAGAGAACUAUAUUGAACAAGAGGAAAUCCUUGUUUUGUAAUAUUUCUCUAUGAGUGAAAGAAAAAAGGUAAGACAGUUAUGAGAGACUCAGUAUGUUUGUGUCCACAUGAUUAGACAUUCAACCUUGCUUACAUUUCUUCUCCCUCUCUUUUGUCCUCUAUGGACUGUUUUUUAAAUUGUUGUAAAAUUAUUUUUACUUUGUCAAGAUUUACUUAUUUAAAUUUUUGUUCCGGACCCAUAUUUAUUCCUGUAACUGUUUUUCUCAAUUUAACAUUUAAAUUCUCAUUAUACCAUGUGUUCUACAUUGAUCAAUUAAAUGGUUCCAACCACCCUCUUACAAGGACAAAAAAGAAAAAAAUAUGUCUGGUCUUAACAACAAUGCAGUAAGCCAAGAAAGAAAAAUAAAAUGUAUAAAGAUUGGGGUUAAAAAACAGCCCUCAUUACCAUUCAUUCUGUAGUAAUUUUAUUCCCUAGUUCUUCAUUGUGAUCCUCCCUUUUUUCUUGGGUAGGGGGGUGGAUUUAAGUAUCAAGUAGUUAAAAUGUUCUCCUCUCAACCUGUAUCUUGAAUAAUGAGAAGAAAAAUGUUCUUCUCUUUGUCUUUGCACGUUUGAGAAUCCCUACUAAAUUUAUUAGCUCCAUAAUACAUUUUUGUUCUCAGAGUAAUUCAUAGCUUUUCAUCUCUCUUUUUAAAAAAAUCAUGUUGGGUGGUGUGUAUUUCAUUAAAUUCAUGUCCUUAUUGAAUUACUCUAUAGCACAAGCAUUUUUAGAAGAUUUCUUGUAUUCCUUGGAUCUUAGUUUUCCCAGAAUGUGUUCUUCCUUGGAUGUUUUUCAUACCAUGUUCUUUCUCUCCUGUAUUGGUGUUAUUUCUGUGCAUAAUGAUAAUGACAGGAUCCUUUUUAAAAAAUAUUAUUGAUCCUAACGUGGCUGGUUUUAGCCAGACCUCUAAUUGGCUGUGAUUAGUACAGAUGGGUUCUUGUAGACACUCCUCCAAAAAUAUUUGUGACAUCUGUCUUCUAAGCUGCAUCUAAUGCAUUUGAUGUUGCAUUCUCUGUUCCUUUUUAAUAGCAGAGGCCUUGGGGUAGGGGAUGGGAGAACCUGUCUAAGAAAACCUUUAGCUCUUUGUUGUAGGCCUGAAGACUGUUCUUUCCCCUCUCAACUUUGAAUAAAUACUCCUGGGGUCUCAUUCUCCCAACUCUACAUAUUGCCUCAAAAAUUGGCAAGCCCCUGGCAGCCCCUCCCAGUGUCUGCAGAAGAGUAGUGUAUAAGGGCUUCUGCUCUUGAUGGUGUAUUUCCUUGAUUUUUCCUCUCAAGCUGCCUACUCUACCUGCAUCUCCCCAUCUUUUAACAGUGCCUAUUAAAUGAUGGCCCAUCAAUAUUGUUACUGUAAUUCCUAAACUGAUUUUCAAAGGAUUCUUUUUUUUUUCUAUCAGAGAUAAAUAAAUCAUUUAGGAAGAGAUUCAUUUGAACAUUCUUGUUUAUAAGCCAAAGGGUUUCCAAAGAGGAAUAGUUUGAAGAUUGACAAAAAUGGGGAUAAUUUGUGAGAGUGAAUGCCUGGAGAGUAUCAGGGAACACCUAGAACAUACAAUAAGAGGAUACGUGGAAGGGCAUCUUUUCCUUUGAGACAGGAAGGGAAAGACAUAUGGAUGAAAUGAGUGAAAUUAUACAGAGUUGGAAUUUCCUCUUGAUGGCUUCUUCAGGUAACCACAGAGUCUGAGCACUAUCAAAAAUUCUUCCUGGGCCAGGCAUGGACUCCUAGUGGAUUGCCUGAGCUCAGGAGUUCAAGACCAGCCUGGGUAACAUGGUGAAACCCUAUCUCUAC